UACGUAGGGCGCAAGCGUUAUCCGGAAUUAUUGGGCGUAAAGAGCUCGUAGGCGGUUUGUCGCGUCUGCUGUGAAAACUCGGGGCUUAACUCCGGGCCUGCAGUGGGUACGGGCAGACUAGAGUGCGGUAGGGGGGACUGGAAUUCCUGGUGUAGCGGUGAAAUGCGCAGAUAUCAGGAGGAACACCGGUGGCGAAGGCGGGUCUCUGGGCCGUAACUGACGCUGAGGAGCGAAAGCGUGGGGAGCGAACAGG
rnacentral:rRNA from 1 species